CGACACCGAGCGGAACUCGAAAGCCUGUCUCAGUUCGGAUCGGAGUCUGCAACCCGACUCCGUGAAGCUGGAUUCGCUAGUAAUCGCGCAUCAGCCAUGGCGCGGUGAAUACGUUCCCGGGCCUUGUACACACCGCCCGUCAAGCCAUGGAAGCCGGGAGUGCCUGAAGUAUGCAACCGCAAGGAGCGUCCUAAGGUAAAACCGGUGACUGGGGCUAAGUCGUAACAAGGUAUC
rnacentral:rRNA from 1 species